GUGGAAACAGAAGAAGCAGAGAAGGAGAGGUGUAUAUGUUUCACCUAUCUCCAAGCCCUUCCAUUUCCAAAAAAAAGAUAUGAAGCAGUCAACCAUUCCUGAUGUGCAUGAACAGCAACCCUCCCCUCAACACGUGCCUUCACAGUUUGAUAAAGAAGGACCUGGCUUUGCAACAAUGCCCAGUGACCAGAAGAAACUUCCAAUUGAUCAAGAAGAGGAGCUUACAUCACUGUGGAAACGGAAGAACACAGAAGUGGUGG